UUCUAACUGAGAAAGACAGAGAGAUCCUAGCUAUACAGAGUCAAUUAAAUCUCUGCUAAAUGGCUUUAUACUCUGUUUUUUAGAGAUUGCACACAAACAGAGAUGCCUUGUUUAUAAACAAACCUCUUCAUUUCAGAGAAACAUGCAUGUAGUUGUAGACAACAGUAAGGUUUCAAGAGGUUUCUGCUGUUGCUUUUGUGAUGUCAUGUAGUUGUACACCCAGUUUCCUGUUCCUCCAUGCUUAGAGUAUUAAAUAAUAGCAUAUCAAAUCUGAAGUUGUUGAGAAUAAGAAAAAGCAAGGUAUGUUGGACUGGGGUUUUGUAACAUUUCCCCCACUGGGAAUCUGUGCUGGUUGAAAACGGACAGACUGAAUCCAGUGCAACACAGAUCAAUCUGUGCAAAUCCCAGCUACAGUUUGAGAGAACAGAUGUGAAAAGCUGGACUCCUAAAGCAGGGUUUGUCUCCCCUAGCCUUAGAUGUCCACAGUGCAUUUGCACAGAACAAAUCACCUCUGUUUUAGAAAGAGCUAAACUGUGCCCAUUUCUUACUGUGUAAAAGCAGUCUGACCUACUCAUUCAGCUGUUAGGUGAGGUGGGUUCGUAAUGCUUUGAAGACUUCAAAAGUGCCAAGCUCCAUGCUUCGCUUGGGACUACUGACUUUGGUCACUGGGAACUGCCUUUAUCUCCCCUUCUCCAUACUUUCAUGUGGCCUCUCCCCGGUGUUCAGAUGCACUGCAGGGCUCUGUUGACACCGUAGCUAUAGAUUUCUAUUGCACACCUACCAAUCUGGGGAAACACCAAGGUUUCUCACAUGAAAGUGCGUUUUUCUGAAGACACCAGCAUGCUGCUGCCCUCCAUGGGCUUCGCAGCUGCCUCUGAGCAGACCUGUCAUUCGGAUAGCCUCACCAUUGACACUGAGAGUUGCCUGUAGGUGCCAGAAGUGAAGCUCUAGCACAGUCAGGAAAUACAGUUGUCUAAGUGUACAUGUUUCCUAGACAGAUAGUUUUAGUCAAGCUAACUGAAGAACAGUGAAUGAACUGGGGGGCAGAGACUAAGAGGUCCCUCAGGAUGGUGCACAGGAUCCAAGCAGGCUUGUAGAGCCUGUGCUAAAUGCUACACUGCCCUUAGGUCUGCCAUACCCUGCCCCAUCAGAGAGCCCGGGGGCCAUGGCUGUACGCCCCGCUGGGUGAGGUGGGGUGUGGGAAGGCAGUCCAGCCCACACAGGGAGAACUCUGCUCUUCACUAGCAUCCCACUGAGAGAAGAUCCUUCACAGAUGGGAACACCCUGCUGCUCUUGGUCUUGGAAAGGUCUCUUUGACACAUGUCUCACUGGAAGAGUGAAAAACUGUUUCCAAACGUAUGGCCUAAAUUUCUUUCCCCACUCCCCCAUUUACAUGUAGAUACCUCUUGCCCUACAGUCCCUGUACGCCUCACCCUGAACUUCUUAUUUGUGCAGGACCAAAAAUAGAAAACUAAGAUGGUUUACUUAAUUUUGAAAUUUUACAAUUUUACAAACAUGGAUAGCUGGAUUUUCUGGGGGGGUGUGUGUGUGUGUGUGUGUAAUGUGGGAAAGAAGAUUGUUUUCAUUUUGUGAUAAAUUUUUUGGACUCUGUUGCAGUUUCUGUCUUUUCCCUAUAACUCUUGGCAAAAAGACUUAAACAAGAUGAGGAGAGCUCCAGAUGAACAAGCCUGUGUGAAAUUAAAGGAUUGUUGGUUUUUGCGCAACAAAGGCUAAUGAAUUAGUAUGUUGGAAUGAUCUGUUCAUGGUGGACCAACUUCUGUUUUCCAAACACUCGGUUUGGACAUUGGAGAAGACCUUUGUACAGAGGUCCUUGUUUUGAGUACUCUAGUUUUCUUGGAUGAUAUGAAAACCAGGAAUCCUGAACAUAUUGUAAUCAUUUUCAAUGUAGUUGUGCUUUUCCCAGCAGAUGUCUGAAUGUUUAUAAUGCACAUAUCUUUAUGAUGCACAUAAACAUCUUCAGCUUUCAAAAGUUAUAACAGAUAAAGGAAGAGUCAGCUUGCGUUGCUCCAGCAGUUCUGCAUGCACAUCUGACACAUCCUGACACAUCCCCUUCUGCACCAGCAGACAGACUCUGCUGUACUGAAUAAAUGACCUUUAAAUGGUCCUCUUGCAUAUAACACCAUUUCUUCACUUAGCUUGAAGAAACAUCAUCCAAGAAGAAAUGUGGAUCCUAGAUCCAGACAUAUAAAACAGAUUUAAGAACCUUGAUGAGGGGUAAAAGGAGACAAAAGAUAAGAAAAAAAGUUGCAGAUGAAGAGAUAAACUCCAAGAAUAUUUGAUAAAUGAGGUAAAAAUAAAACCUACAUCUUGCUUUUUACUGAAACUGGAGGAGCCAAAUCCUUAAAAUGACUCUUGGAGAUAACAAGAAGAUAACAUUCAUCCUUUUAACUGAACCCUUUGGAUGCUGAUGGGUCACAUUAGCAGAACUUGCAGCUAAGUUGUCCUUCAGACAGAUACAAGAAAGGAGAGUGCAGCUUCUAAGUUUUAAUAAAAACCUGAACUUCCUUUCCUGAUCCAAAGCAUGGUGGAGGAGGUGAGGGAUAACCAAGGAAUUGCCCCUGGUAGGAUCCCUUUCCAAGUUCCUGUAACCAUCUCUGGGAAUAGAGAUUCCCUGCUCACACACCCCUACAUCCCCACACCUCUCCCCCUAAAUUUCUUGUUUACCUCAUUAGAGCCUCACCAUGGCUCUUGGUGGGAGUUUACAAGUUGGUUGAACCAGUUUUUGCUGAUCUGCUGCUGAGCUAACGUGUGGGUCCUUGUUCCCAAGCAGCACCAGGAAAAGCAGCUUGAGAUCAAGCAGCGGUGAGAUGCUGGCUGCCUCCUUUCUCUGGGGACUCCAGCUCUUGGACUCACCCACACAGAGCAACGGAGAGCAGGAGAGAUACUGCUCCUACGCACUAAAGUGUUAACACAGGGCUUAGGUGGAAGGAGUUAAAACCCCCUUACACCAGAAAUGUGAAGGUUCAAGCAGCAGUGUGGAGUCACACAGCGUGAAGAUGGCAGUGCACAGCUGGGCUGUCAUCAGGCAGAACCUUUCUUUACUGCUACACAGCCAAAAUAGCCUACUUACAGACACCUUCAUUUGGGAAGCAGGGACACAAAAAGGUGAAGCCAGGCACGUCCCAAAGCUCUGCCUGAAGCUACCCCUUGGGAGAUGCUCUAGCUCUGGUUCUCUACUCUACUACUCCACAGAAACCUUUUGCCAGUACUGAUGUGGAAUUUUUUCUUCUUCUUUCUUCUCCAUGAACAAUCUACAGUGCCAAAACACAAGUGAAGAACAUGCCUCUGUCAAUGUGCUCUGUAAAUCUAUCUCAAAAUAGUCAUCUUGGUCAAAAGACAUUUCAGUACUUUGGUUCAAAUGUGGAUGAUCUCAUAGGGGGAACUGAAACAAAAUGAAGCCAUUUAUUAAAGGCAGAAGACCUGGAAAUCGGUUAAAACCCUGAAACUCAGGAAAACAUAUGUAUAUAUGUCCAUUCAACAUAAUUUUCUUUUAUUUGUUCCCAAAUCCCUGGCCCCUUGCUUAGACACUGCUCAAAACAUUCAUGUUAUCCCAACUCUAUUCAACAUAACAGAGGCCAAAUAACAGAAAACUGUAUUUUUCCAGAUACUACAUGGAAACUUCACCAGAUAAGUAAAAGGUGGCCAUACACAUAGCCUAGUUUCUGAUGCUUCGUAUUCAUCUUGGCAAGUGUUAUAGGGUGCACGUUGCUGUCAAUAAUAACAAAUUUAUAAACUGCACUAGCACUUCUGGGAACACAGGUUGCACAGGUUUCAUAUCAGGAUUGCUCAGUAGUCACUUUAAAGGACAAGUAGUUUUGUAGGAAACUUUGGGUUUAAAGCAGUUGGUUGCCCUACUUCUAUAAAAUACUUAUAAAAUCUACCAGAGUAAAAACAAUGCAAUUCAGUCACUUUAAAAGGCUUGGGUUUUUCUAUCAACUCUCACCGAUGAGUGGGCAAAAAUAUGAGCUUAAGAUCAAAGUAGCCUAAAAAUUUUGCAAAGUCAAAUACAGGCGCAAUAUUCACUCUCAAGCGUUAAAUUUAUCUUUCAUCACUUCACAUUCACCAUGGUCUAAAUGAAGGACUGAAAAACGUCCCAGCUGACAUGGAGUUGGCAAGCAAGUAAAAACUAAAAAAAAAAAAAUAAUGCCCAGUCAUGGACCAUUAGCCAGCACAUGGCACACCUACAAGGAAAAUCCAGGAAGGCUGGGACCCUGUACCCCAAAGGGCAGGAUGCUGGCCAGGAAGGUUCCUAUGGCUGCUGUGAAUUUCUGUUCCCAGCUAAGUCUAGGCUCUCUCUGUGGACAGGCAGUGCCCCCUCGUAACAAAGAGGGUCUCAUGGAGAUUUGGGAAGAAAUUUGUCAGGACUGUCAGUUUGGGCAUCCACGCACCCAGAACUCAGAUGUAUGCCCAGAUGCAUAAAUGUAAAAGACCGGGACUCAGAUCCGAGAAAGGCUAGAAAACCUAAUCACAGGCUAAGGAAAUGAAUUCCUGGGAAUCACUUUGAAGAGGAUUUUCUCUCCCUGAGGGCCAGGGAGUGCUGCCUGCUGAGGAGGAAGGGUUUCUGCCCCAGAACACCUGGGUUCCACUCAAAUGAUCUUGGUAAUAAAUAUCAUGAAAAACGAUAAAUUAUACCUACUUGAGCUGUGUGCCUUAAGCAGUUGACAUUUGCAAGGCACAAUGAAAUCCUCAAAAUGAAAGACAGCACAUGUGGUGCAUGAAAAGAAUGAUACCAUUGCCUAAUUUCGUUCCAGAGGAAAGCUUCUGCUACCCAGAAUUGCAGUGUGUGUGCUGCAAAGCACAGACAACACGUGGGUCCUUUCUUUUUGUGGUGGACAGGUCUUUACCAUAACCAAGUUCACAAAAAAUGUGUUCUGCUUUCUCUGGAUCUUUGAAGGAGGACUAGGGAGACAUCUUCAUCUCCAAUAGAGAAGGCAUAAAUUCUAAAAUUCAGGUCUGUCUAUAGAUCAUAUGCUUUUUCAUGUAAGGUAGCUGCUGCGAUUUCCCUGAAAUUCACCAGUCUUAAAACAGACUGAAAAAAUGAUCUUACAAGUAGGCAACAAGACUUGAGAUGCUCAUGCUUACUUCUGUGCCAGAGAUUUGAGAUUCCCCAAACUGCAGCAAUUCUGGAGGCUACAGCUUCACCCCAUGCAUGAACAUAGACACCUUGGUGAGUUGUGGGUGUCCCCAUUCCCUGUGACCGCAGGGGAGGAAGCAGUCUUCUCCUUGACAGAUUCCUGCCCUGCAUAUGAGAUCUCUGCAGUAGCACGGGAGCACACUGAGGACUGACACACAGCUCCUUUGCCUGGCUUUUGUCCUUGGGUAGAUGGAGAGUGCACAUGGGAACUUAUUCCUUUACCACUUGUCUUUCUGGCUUUCAAAAUGGGCUGAUCAGAAAAACUCUCAGAGAAGUUACCUGUAACUGUACCUGUGUGCAGGAGCAGUGCUGUCAAGCAUCUUCUGCUGGCGCUGAAAGCAAUGCCUCCUGAGCUCUUACAAUGAGAUUGACUUGCCAGGCAAGUACAGCACUUCGCUGCUGUAAAUUGGUUCCUGGCAAAGAGAGGAUAAAAGCUUAUUGCUGUGCAUGCAUCAUGCCAGUCCUGGGGUCACCUUGGCAUGGGUCCAUCUGAUCCAGCUGAAGAUUAUCGCAUGUGUUGUAGUGGAGGCUCCAGAGCCCGAGUGGCUGGGCUCUUGGUUUUGCAGGCAGGGAGGCUGGGAGGGCACGGGAGCAAGGAGCGGCGACAGGGGCAUGGGAGAGCUUACUUCUCAGGUCACAGCUGCUUUACAUCAUUAUCGCUCUGCAGAGCUGCUGUGGGUUGGCACCCCUGGCAGAGAGAGCAGGGGGAAGCAUGGGGGCUCACGGCAGCAGCCCUGAGCGGGGGCCAGUGAUGGCCUCACCCCACACCAGUGCCCAGGCACCACCGGCUGCAUGCAGUGGGCAGCCAGCCUUUCGGCCUUGCCCUGUUCCCACCACUGAGGGACCUGCCACAGAAUCUGUGCUGGAGCUAACCUCUGUAUGUCAGCUGCCUUUAUAGUCAGGUUGCUACUGUCUUGCUCAUCUGCCCUGUUCAAGACACCUGUUUUAGGAAGAGGUGAAUUGCACCAUUUCUCUCCACUUUUCACUAAUGGGUCGAGGAUAACAUGCAUGGAGACAAAGUGUAGACACUCACUUUUGGUCACAUGAGUCCAAGUCUUGAUCCUGAACCUUCCUAGUCUAUUAGAUACAUCCUGUGGUCAAGCUCCUUCAACAUUAAGAAUAAUGUAAGAAUAAUUAAGAAUACGUAAGAAUAAGUACCUGAAAACUACAUCUGUACUGGUUUUUCCUUUUCAGUAGAUGCCCUUCACCCUGUAUGAAGAAAAAGUUCUGAUCCUCACUUGGAGGUACGUUGGUCUCCUGAGUCUGAAGAUGCCUUUCAACACUUGCCUGGAGGAAUUGUAAGGCCCUUUUUCCAGUCCAUGGGGAGUCCUUCCAAUAGCUGCAAGAGACUCUGAAGAAAUGCUGCAGACAUGCUCUGCAUCCCACUGACCACAUGAUGUUCUCCAGGAAGAUGAGGGGUUCCUCUGCCUAUGUGCCCUUGAGACAGGCUUCAAGGGCUGAAAGCAGCAGGAAAACUGAGGCACUUGUAUAUCAUCAGUGAAAAUGCCUGUAGCACCCUGGCAGCAGGAGUGUCACAGCUGGGAUAAAAUGAAUUGAACAUAACAUGAAAGAUAAGGGCUUCUAGGGGAUUUGCAUGGGCUGUGCUAUUCCUUUUCAUAGUCCAUUCCACACUUUUCUCAAGAAUCCACCGAAGUUCUGAAGAAACCAGGGCACCUGGUCAGCACUGUUAUCUGACUUGGCAGGAAAUGACACUGCUAUGGGACAGACUUAUGAGGGAGCCUAAAGCUGGUUUUGUUCCAGACUGGGAAAAAGCCAAAAUGCUUUCACAAAGCAGAAUAAAGUCACAGCUCCUGUCUCCAUAUUGUUCGCCUUCCUCUCAGUACCUCAGGAACCAUCUCAUCAAAAAUAAUUUUGCAAAUACUAUAUCUUCACAAAACUUUUUCACCAUCAAACCAGUAUCUGGAUACAAAAUAAAACCAGCCAUUAGAAUGUCCAAACCAACUAUCCGCUGUAGGUUCAUCUGGCUGCAGGAACUGCUUUAUAUUUCCCAAGUUCAAAACAUUUUUUUCAAAUCUGUGACUGAAAAAUGCAGAGUAUUUGAACACUAGAAGAGCACUUGGUACCAUGCACAUUUGGACAUAGUGCAAAAGCACCUGACCCAAGAAAAUGCUUUUCAAAAAAACACUUUUUUGGUCAAAAAUGCUGUUUUAUUGAAAACCAAACAGCUUCGUGUCAGCAUUGGCCAACCUUGUCUUAAGUCCUGGAUAUAUUUUUUUCUGGAGAAAAGCCUUAACCCCAGAAUAACCUGAUAACUCAAAGCACACACGAUCCCACUUCUUGGGGUCCUGGUAAGGACAAUAAUCCCUUGGGAAAAUGUCUUUGGCUAUCUUGUGGUUUUUUUAGUAAAUUUUCAGACUGA